rnacentral:rRNA from 1 species
AAACCAGCACCUCAAGUGGUCAGGAUGAUUAUUGGGCCUAAAGCAUCCGUAGCCGGCUCAGUAAGUUUUCGGUUAAAUCUGUACGCUCAACGUACAGGCUGCCGGGAAUACUGCAGAGCUAGGGAGUGGGAGAGGUAGACGGUACUCGGGAGGAAGUGGUAAAAUGCUUUGAUCUCUCGAUGACCACCUGUGGCGAAGGCGGUCUACCAGAACACGUCCGACGGUGAGGGAUGAAAGCUGGGGGAGCAAACCGGAUUAGAAACCCCGGUAGUCC